GACGAACGCUGGCGGCGCGCCUAACACAUGCAAGUCGAACGAGCGAGAGGGAGCUUGCUUUCUCGAGCGAGUGGCGAACGGGUGAGUAACGCGUGAGGAACCUGCCUCAAAGAGGGGGACAACAGUUGGAAACGACUGCUAAUACCGCAUAAGCCCACGGUGCCGCAUGGCACAGAGGGAAAAGGAGCAAUCCGCUUUGAGAUGGCCUCGCGUCCGAUUAGCUAGUUGGUGAGGUAAUGGCCCACCAAGGCGACGAUCGGUAGCCGGACUGAGAGGUUGAACGGCCACAUUGGGACUGAGACACGGCUCAGACUCCUACGGGAGGCAGCAGUGGGGAAUAUUGCACAAUGGGGGAAACCCUGAUGCAGCGACGCCGCGUGGAGGAAGAAGGUCUUCGGAUUGUAAACUCCUGUUGUUGGGGAAGAUAAUGACGGUACCCAACAAGGAAGUGACGGCUAACUACGUG
rnacentral:rRNA from 1 species